AUUGAACGCUGGCGGCAGGCCUAACACAUGCAAGUCGAGCGGAGCGGCGGACGGGUGAGUAAUGUAUGGGGAUCUGCCCGAUAGAGGGGGAUAACCACUGGAAACGGUGGCUAAUACCGCAUACUGUCGGCUGUACCCAUAGGGGAUUAGCUAGACGGUGGGGUAAAGGCCUACCAAGGCGACGAUCCGUAACUGGUCUGAGAGGAUGAUCAGUCACACUGGAACUGAGACACGGUCCAGACUCCUACGGGAGGAAGCAGUGGGGAAUAUUGGACAAUGGGCGAAAGCCUGAUCCAGCCAUGCCGCGUGUGUGAAGAAGGUCUUCGGAUUGUAAAGCACUUUAAGUUGGGAGGCGUUACCAACAGAAUAAGCACCGGCUAACUUCGUGCCAGCCGCCGCGGUAAUAC
rnacentral:rRNA from 1 species